rnacentral:rRNA from 1 species
UACGUAGGUGGCAAGCGUUGUCCGGAUUUACUGGGUGUAAAGGGCGUGUAGGCGGGUUAGUAAGUCAGAUGUGAAAUUCCAUGGCUCAACUGUGGCGCUGCAUCUGAAACUAUUGAUCUUGAGUGCUGGAGAGGAAAGCGGAAUUCCUAGUGUAGCGGUGAAAUGCGUAGAUAUUAGGAGGAACACCAGUGGCGAAGGCGGCUUUCUGGACAGUAACUGACGCUGAGGCGCGAAAGCGUGGGGAGCAAACAGGAUUAGAUACCCUAGUUAGU